AUUGAACGCUGGCGGCAUGCUUUACACAUGCAAGUCGAACGGUAACAGGUUAAGCUGACGAGUGGCGAACGGGUGAGUAAUGCAUCGGAACGUGCCCGAUCGUGGGGGAUAACGCAGCGAAAGCUGCGCUAAUACCGCAUACGAUCUGAGGCUGAAAGCGGGGGACCGUAAGGCCUCGCGCGAUCGCAGCGGCCGAUGUCAGAUUAGGUAGUUGGUGGGGUAAAAGCUCACCAAGCCAACGAUCUGUAGCUGGUCUGAGAGGACGACCAGCCUCACUGGGACUGAGACACGGACCAGACUCCUACGGGAGGCAGCAGUGGGGAAUUUUAGACAAUGGGCGAAAGACUGAUCCAGCAAUGCCGCGUGCAGGAAGAAGGCCUUCGGGUUGUAAACUGCUUUUGUACGGAGCGAAAAGGUUCUCGCUAAUACAGAGGGCUCAUGACGGUACCGUAAGAAUAAGCACCGGCUAACUACGUGCCAGCCGCCGCGGUAAAAC
rnacentral:rRNA from 1 species